AGAGUUUGAUCAUGGCUCAGAACGAACGCUGGCGGCGUGCUUAACACAUGCAAGUCGAGUGCGCGUCUGUAGCAAUACAGAUGGCGCACGGCGCACGGGUGCGUAACACGUGGGUAAUCUGCCCUUCGAUGGGGAAUAACCUCGCGAAAGCGAGGCUAAUUCCGCAUAACAUUCCUAGGACCUUGGUCUCUGGAUUCAAAGCCGUAAGGCGUCGAUGGAGGAACCCGCGCACGAUUAGCUAGUUGGUGAGGUAACGGCUCACCAAGGCUAUGAUCGUUAGCUGGUCUGAGAGGAUGGCCAGCCACACUGGAACUGAGACACGGUCCAGACUCCUACGGGAGGCAGCAGUGGGGAAUCUUGCACAAUGGGCGAAAGCCUGAUGCAGCGACGCCGCGUGGGGGAUGAAGCAUUUCGGUGUGUAAACCCCUUUCGACCGGGAAGAAUGCCUCGCAAGAGGACUGACGGUACCGGUAUAAGAAGCCCCGGCUAACUACGUGCCAGCAGCCGCGGUAAGACGUAGGGGGCCAGCGUUGUUCGGAAUUACUGGGUGUAAAGGGUUCGUAGGCGGUGUGGCAAGUUGGGAGUGAAAUCUCUGGGCUUAACCCAGAGGCUGCUUCCAAAACUGCUGUGCUUGAGUGUGGGAGAGGUGCGUGGAAUUGCAGGUGUAGCGGUGAAAUGCGUAGAUAUCUGCAGGAACACCCGUGGCGAAAGCGGCGCACUGGACCACAACUGACGCUGAGGAACGAAAGCUAGGGGAGCAAACAGGAUUAGAUACCCUGGUAGUCCUAGCCCUAAACGAUCAGGACUUGGGGUGGCUCACGUUCGUGAGUCGUCCCGGAGCUAACGCGUUAAGUCCUGCACCUGGGGAGUACGGUCGCAAGACUGAAACUCAAGGAAUUGACGGGGGCCCGCACAAGCGGUGGAACAUGUGGUUCAAUUCGACGCUACGCGAGGAACCUUACCUGGGCUCGAAAUGCUAGUGACCAGCUGUAGAAAAUACGGCCUUCCGC
rnacentral:rRNA from 1 species